rnacentral:rRNA from 2 species
CAUGGGUAGCAAACAGGAUUAGGUACCCUGGUAGUCCAUGCUAUAAACGAUAAAUAUUAAAUAUUAUUAAAUAUUUUUAUAUAAUAUAAAAAGUUAACACGUAAAAUAUUUCGCCUGGGGAGUAAAACCGCAAGGUUGAAACUCAAAGGAAUUGACGGGAGCUUAUACGUACGGUGGAGCAUGUGGUUUAAUCCGAUAGUCCGCGUGGAAUCUUACCAAUUUUUGACAGUUUAUAAUAUUUUUUAAUUAUAAAACAGGUGUUGCAUGGUCGUCGUCAGCUUUUAUUUUGAAAUUAAGAUAUAAGUUUAACCCUUGUAUUAAGUUGCUAUUAUUUAAAAUAAUUUAUAAAUUAGUAAAUAAGUACUCUUAAUUAAUAAAUUUAACUUGAGAGAAAAUUUAUAAAUUUUUAUUUACAAAGGAUGAAGAUAGAUCGUUAUGACCCUUAUGAAUU